UACGUAGGUGGCAAGCGUUGUCCGGAUUUACUGGGUGUAAAGGGCGUGCAGCCGGAGAGACAAGUCAGAUGUGAAAUCCACGGGCUCAACCCGUGAACUGCAUUUGAAACUGUUUCCCUUGAGUGUCGGGGAGGUAAUCGGAAUUCCUUGUGUAGCGGUGAAAUGCGUAGAUAUAAGGAAGAACACCAGUGGCGAAGGCGGAUUACUGGACGAUAACUGACGGUGAGGCGCGAAAGCGUGGGGAGCAAACAGG
rnacentral:rRNA from 1 species